GGGAAGGUGGCUCAGUGGUAAGAAUGCUUGCCUUGCAUGCAUGAGGCCCUGGGUUCGAUUCCUCAGCCCCA
rfam:Dipodomys ordii contig_8014, whole genome shotgun sequence.